AUUGAACGCUGGCGGCAGGCCUAACACAUGCAAGUCGAACGAGUGGCGGACGGGUGAGUAAUGUAUGGGAAACUGCCCGAUGGAGGGGGAUAACUACUGGAAACGGUAGCUAAUACCGCAUACCAUCGGAUGUGCCGAGAUGGGAUUAGCUAGUAGGUGGGGUAAAGGCUCACCAAGGCAACGAUCCCUAGCUGGUCUGAGAGGAUGACCAGCCACACUGGAACUGAGACACGGUCCAGACUCCUACGGGAGGCAGCAGUGGGGAAUUUUGCACAAUGGGCGCAAGCCUGAUGCAGCCAUGCCGCGUGUAUGAUGAAGGCCUUCGGGUUGUAAAGUACUUUCGGCGGGGAGGCGUUACCCGCAGAAGAAGCACCGGCUAACUCCGUGCCAGCAGCCGCGGUAAUUC
rnacentral:rRNA from 1 species